GACGAACGCUGGCGGCGUGCCUAAUACAUGCAAGUAGAACGCACAGUUUAUACCGUAGCUUGCUACACCAUAAACUGUGAGUUGCGAACGGGUGAGUAACGCGUAGGUAACCUGCCUGGUAGCGGGGGAUAACUAUUGGAAACGAUAGCUAAUACCGCAUAAUAUUAAUUAUUGCAUGAUAAUUGAUUGAAAGAUGCAAUUGCAUCACUACCAGAUGGACCUGCGUUGUAUUAGCUAGUAGGUGAGGUAACGGCUCACCUAGGCGACGAUACAUAGCCGACCGGAGAGGGUGAUCGGCCACACUGGGACUGAGACACGGCCCAGACUCCUACGGGAGGCAGCAGUAGGGAAUCUUCGGCAAUGGACGAAAGUCUGACCGAGCAACGCCGCGUGAGUGAAGAAGGUUGUCGGAUCGUAAAGCUCUGUUGUAAGAGAAGAACGGGUGUGAGAGUGGAAAGUUCACACUGUGACGGUAUCUGACCAGAAAGGGACGGCUAACUACGUG
rnacentral:rRNA from 1 species